rnacentral:rRNA from 1 species
UACGAAGGGGGCUAGCGUUGCUCGGAAUCACUGGGCGUAAAGGGUGCGUAGGCGGGUCUUUAAGUCAGGGGUGAAAUCCUGGAGCUCAACUCCAGAACUGCCUUUGAUACUGAAGAUCUUGAGUUCGGGAGAGGUGAGUGGAACUGCGAGUGUAGAGGUGAAAUUCGUAGAUAUUCGCAAGAACACCAGUGGCGAAGGCGGCUCACUGGCCCGAUACUGACGCUGAGGCACGAAAGCGU